AGAAUUAUAGUUUAUAAAAACAUUUGAUUUGCACUCAAAAAAUAUUGAUAAUCUCAAUUUAUUUUA
rnacentral:tRNA from 1 species